UGUUUAUGUGUUUCUAUGGUGAUGGGAGUCACUUUUUAAUGAUAUCAUCAGCUGCAGCCGGAAAGGAGGAGGGGUCGUUGGGACUCCCAGCGUGGCAGUGUUCACGGAUGAUCAUUUAUAAAAGGUGCAGUACCUUAAUAAAUUCAAAGAACAGAAAGAAUUCACUUCAAAGCAGUAGUGCUGCAACAAAAGCCAAGGUCAUCACUGACACCCCAAAGUGUUCAGAAAUAGUUCAGUAAAAUCCACAGACACAGGAAACAUACUCCACAGUAGCUGUUCAACCCACUGAGGGUAAGGAGCCAUUUGAACAGGACUAAGGAAUAAGUCUGACUGAGCCACAGCAGGAGCGGCAGGCAGCAGCAAUGACUCUGGUGAGCGGACAGCAGCCGUGACUCCGGGCAGCGGACAGCAGCAGCGACUCAGUGAAGCACGGGCAGCGGAGAUCAGGCAGCAGAUCAUCUUCCACUGUGAAAAAAAGGGUGGUUACAUGCGGUGAGCUAAACAUCCCAACCAGAGGUUGCAGAAUGGACCGUUAUUGGUGAACAACAGAGUGGACAUGACAGCAGCUUCAUUCAUGUUCUCACCUAGAUCACGUAUGAUCUCUUUCACCAUGAAUUUGAGCAUCCCGCGGCUGUGCUCUGGG